rnacentral:tRNA from 1 species
GAGGUUAUAGCUCAGUGAUAGAGUGUGUGCUUAGCAUGCACGAGGUCCUGGGUUCAAUCCCUAGUACCUCCA